rnacentral:misc_RNA from 1 species
GAUGAAGAACGUAGCGAAAUGCGAUAAGUAAUGUGAAUUGCAGAAUUCAGUGAAUCAUCGGAUCUUUGAACGCACCUUGCGCUCCUUGGUAUUCCGAGGAGCAUGCCUGUUUGAGUGUCAUUAAUUUCUCAACCUCACCAGCUUUUGCUGAGUGCAGGCUUGGAUGUGGGGGUUGCAGGUCCGCUAACGUGGUCUGCUCCUCUGAAAUGUAUUAGUGGGUUGGGCCCCUAAUCUAUUGGUGUGAUAAUUAUCUACGCCGUGGAUUUGGGUGGCUGACUUAGACCCGCUUCUAACCGUCCUUCACCGGACAACUCUUGACAAUUUUGACCUCAAAUCAGGUAAGACUACCCGCUGAACUUAAGCAUAUCAAUAAGCGGAGGA